rnacentral:rRNA from 1 species
UGGGGAAUUUUGGACAAUGGGCGCAAGCCUGAUCCAGCCAUACCGCGUGAGUGAAGAAGGCCUUCGGGUUGUAAAGCUCUUUCAGACGGAAAGAAACGGUCGCGGCCAAUACCCGCGACUAAUGACGGUACCGUAAGAAGAAGCACCGGCUAACUACGUGCCAGCAGCCGCGGUAAUACGUAGGGUGCGAGCGUUAAUCGGAAUUACUGGGCGUAAAGCGUGCGCAGGCGGUUUGGUAAGACAGAUGUGAAAUCCCCGGGCUUAACCUGGGAACUGCAUUUGUGACUGCCAGACUAGAGUGUAGCAGAGGGGGGUAGAAUUCCACGUGUAGCAGUGAAAUGCGUAGAUAUGUGGAGGAACACCGAUGGCGAAGGCAGCCCCCUGGGUUAACACUGACGCUCAUGCACGAAAGCGUGGGGAGCAAACAGGAUUAGAUACCCCCGUAGUCCCUGAGCGGGCUGGCAAGGCGCAU